AGGCAGACACAACCUAAAAGAUGUUUAAUUCCCUCUCACUCCAAUCAGGUAGUUCCAAUGCUUGCCACUUUUAAAUUAUGCAAUUAAUAUCAGGAGGAGAAGAAUGGCAUCAUUUAUAAUGUUGGGAGUGGAGAUGGGCAGUAUACAUGGCCAGGGGAACAGGGCCAGGGGUGCCCCGCUCAGCCUACAAGAAUACAUUCAAAAAGGCUACACGCAAUAUUUAAGCAGCAUUAAAUUUACGUUUCAUUUAAAACCACUACUCUGUUGCAGGGCACCGAUAUAAGCCAUACACAUGCACAUAAAUGAUCAGGAAUGCUUAUCAAAAACCUCAAGUAUGAAAUUGUGUAAAUAACAGGGAAAGUACUGUGUAGGGAUUAUGUCACGUAGUCCUACGUAGACCUGAGUAGAAAUUUGACUUACCUUUAUUUUUGUGAAGACAAAUGAGCAGUGACAAGCUUUAAGCUGGGCCUCCAGUCUCUCAAGACUCAAUACAGUCUUACUGUUUAAAAAAAAAAAAAAAAAAA